UUUACCUAUUGAUGUUUCGGUUACCUAAUAUCGCCUCUCCUGCUUCCUAAUAUCGCCUGUUUCACGACAUCCUCCGUCUUCCUUGCUCUUCGGCUUGCCAUAGCUUCCUCCGCUCACCCGUCUCCGGUUCCUCUCACCAAUUUUUUCAGUUAUGGACUUCGUUUACGUUUUUCACUUCUGGAAGAUGAACUCCAACAUACAAACCUUUCAACAAACGGUUCGUUUCUCCUCCCUAAGGUCAUGAUAGAUUAGAUUCUACCUGCAACAAGCGAGUAAGGAUAUUAAUUUGCUUCUUCCAUCUCUUUUUGGAUUAUUAACUUGCCUCAAUGAUAGGUUUUUGAAAUGUUUGGAUAUAUGGGCUUCCUAUUUCUGGCUUAUAUGGUGUUGAUAUGCAAAAAAAUAUUCUUUAUUCAUUUCUCUUUGGGUCCACCUUUGUGUUUCAACCUUUGAACAUAUAGGUCAAGCGUCAUGUUUCUACCUCUCAGGAUAACUUGAAGUUUCCCAAUUUAGUCCAUCACAAUGUUUAUUGUUCUCUUCUAACAUUCUUGCAUCAGCUACUUUGAAAUAACAACAAAAAAAGGAUGCAGAAUAAAGAACAAUAUAUUUGAUUGAUUUUUGAUCAACUUCUUCUCAUCGUGUCUUUUUAUGGCUGACUGAUUUUGAAUUGAAGUGAAGAUCAUAGUUGUUCUUUUUUUUUUCUUUGUAUUUGCUUAACUGUAUAUUUAGGUGCUUUCUUUUUAAUUCGUUUUUCUUCUGUAGGUUUUAUUAUUAAAUCAACUUGUUGCAAAAGCUAAUUUAUGAUGACCUUUUUAUUAGUUGUGAUGAUACCACUAUUUGUAAUCACACUAUUAUAAUCUUAGAACAAGGAUUUCUGACCCAAA